CUUAGCUCCAAGCUCCGUGCCCAUACACACCUUUUUCUCCACUUUUUCUUAUGAAAGAGAUACUCCAUUUAACCAGAAAACGCCUUUUUCAAGACGAAUUGGCAAAGGGUCUGUGAAUCUAGAGAUCUCGCAGCAAACAAGUUGUCCCGGAAGAGACCGCCGUGCCAGCCCAAGUCUCGUUCCUUACGGAUGCAUAUACUAUUGUUUUACCCUGUAUAAAUUGUAAAUAUAUAUUGGUGAAAUGUU
rnacentral:lncRNA from 1 species